AAAUCAAACUCAAGUGGAUUCAU
rnacentral:sRNA from 1 species